rnacentral:rRNA from 1 species
GAUGAACGCUGGCGGCGUGCCUAACACAUGCAAGUCGAGCGAGAAAUUUUAAAGCGAAACUUCGGUCUAGCGAUAAAAUGGAAAGCGGCGGACGGGUGAGUAACGCGUAGGCAACCUGCCCCUUACAGAGGGAUAGCCUCGGGAAACCGGGAUUAAAACCUCAUAACGCAUUUUAAACACAUGUUUGAGAUGCCAAAGAUUUAUCGGUAAGGGAUGGGCCUGCGUCUGAUUAGCUAGUUGGUAAGGUAACGGCUUACCAAGGCAACGAUCAGUAGCCGACCUGAGAGGGUAAUCGGCCACAUUGGAACUGAGACACGGUCCAAACUCCUACGGGAGGCAGCAGUGGGGAAUAUUGCACAAUGGGCGAAAGCCUGAUGCAGCAACGCCGCGUGAGCGAAGAAGGCCUUUGGGUCGUAAAGCUCUGUCGGAAGGGAAGAAACAAAUGACGGUACCUUCUGAGGAAGCCCCGGCUAACUACGUGCCAGCAGCCGCCGUAA